AUUGAACGCUGGCGGCAGGCCUAACACAUGCAAGUCGAGCGAGCGGCGGACGGGUGAGUAAUGUCUGGGAAACUGCCUGAUGGAGGGGGAUAACUACUGGAAACGGUAGCUAAUACCGCAUACCAUCAGAUGUGCCCAGAUGGGAUUAGCUAGUAGGUGGGGUAACGGCUCACCUAGGCGACGAUCCCUAGCUGGUCUGAGAGGAUGACCAGGAAAGCUGGAACUGAGACACGGUCGAGAGUGCUAGGGGAGGCAGCAGGGGGGAAUAGUGAACAAUGGGGGCAAGCCUGAUGGAGCCAUGCCGCGUGUGUGAAGAAGGAGUACGGGUUGUAAAGCACUUUCAGCGGGAGGCGUUACCCGCAGAAGAAGCACCGGCUAACUCCGUGCCAGCAGCCGCGGUAAUUC
rnacentral:rRNA from 1 species